ACAACGCCGUGAAGGAGGCGGCCGCGAUUGGGUUUCAGAGCGUUGAGAAGCUUAUCAGAUUGCUUUCUCAAUCGCAGCCGCAAAUUAGUGGGUUUUCGCCGCCGCUGC